rnacentral:lncRNA from 9 species
AAGACUUACCUAUAUAUAUCCUAAUUGUUUCAAAGAAAAGUCAUUGUAUUUAUACUAGAAAAGCAACUUUAAAACCAGAGACAGUAAGACGAAAAAUCCAGAACUUUAAGGCUCUUCCCAGAAUCUAGAUUCUAUUAGAAAAGUUAUCACUCACUGGACCUAUGCAUUAUUGUGGCCCUGCUCAAUCUAUUUUUACUUCCUUUGAUCCAGAAUCAAUCUCAAAGCACGUAUUAUUUUUAUACAGUUUAUACUCGGCAGAAUGAGAAGGAUGCCUGUCUCUCUAAAUUGGCAGGAAACAUCCUGAGACAUUGCAGCCUCCUGAAAUUCCUCUUCUCAGGCCAGUGGACAAAUUCCAUGUCCAGUGAGUCCAGUGAAGAUGUGAUUUAUCUACGAAAAUGGAAAUACAGAGCAGAAUGAGUAGGACAUACACACAAGUGAAAAGAAGAUAUGUAAUAUAAAGCAUCCAGAUAAAUUCAGGGUUUUUGUUUUUUGUUUUGUUUGUUUGUUUGUUUUUCAGUGCAAACAGAACCUCACACCAUAAUUCAGGACAAGAACAAAAAUUCAGUAAGAAAAAAUAAAGAUCCUGUCAAGUCACUCAAACACUACAAGUGGAAUUCAGCCUUCAGAAAGGACAUGGUAAGAUGAAACAACAGCCAUUUGAGAACCCUUUAGUCUAACUUUAUUUUUCUGAAUGCAAAGAGCCCCAGCAGUAUUCUGCCUUGUUAGCUCAGGGAGGGGUCUUGGAAAUGACAAAAUUACUCCCAGAUGGCAAAUGAAUCACGUCUGUGUUCUGCCAUGAUAUGGCUUCUGCAAAGGUGUCCCCCACAUGUUGAAAAGCCCCUUUACUUCACACUGGUGUAGAGGCAAGCUGUCUAAUCCGAAGUCUGUUAUCAUACACAUGGACAUGAACAUUUUCCACAGCAUGAAAGAAUACUGAAAAUUUUGAUGCAAUGGAAUUUCUUUAUUUAAAAAUGUAAUAAAGAAGGUGUCCCAUUGACUACUAUAUUUAUUACCUUUUCAAAUAAGUGCAUCAUUCAUCCUGACCGAUAUAUGUUGUUAUUUUUAUGAAGGGAUUAAGAGUACAAGUAAUUUCAGCAGAAUCCCUGAGACUCAUCUAAAAUUCUAGAAUUCUAUAUCUUCAAAUUAUUUUCACUAUCGUGACCUAAGACCAUGACUUCAAAAACAUCAGAUAUUAAGUUACAAAUUCAUGGCAUUCCUUGGUGGCCCAGUGGAUUAAAGACUGAUUUUGUCACUGCUGUGGUUUAGGUUUGAUCCCUGGCCCAGGAAUUUUUUUUUUUUUAAGGGCCACACCUGUGGCAUAUGGAGUCCAGGUUAGAGAUCUAAUUGGAGCUGCCUCUGUGCCACAGCCGCAGAAACGCCAGUCUGAAGCUAUGUCUGUUCUUGACCCACUGAAUCACUACG